rnacentral:rRNA from 1 species
CAAAGUCAUCUUUUCGAGGAAGGGCGACGGAAGAGAAAUGGAUUGGCC